rnacentral:lncRNA from 1 species
CGGCUGGUUCUAACUCCCACCCCUGUGGGCACAGAAACACCAGCCCCUAUGACAUUUCUCUCGGGGAUCUCUGGGCUCCUCAGGUAUCCAUCACUGGACCACGACAACUUUAUGUGCGUCUCCAGAUUUCCUUGGCCCCAGCUUUCCCCAGGACCUCAACGAUUUCCUCAGAUGGAAAGCGCAGGCAGUCACCAUUCCCUCAUUGCUUGACACCCCUGGCUGUCUCAGCUUCCCCUGGGUCAGGGCCUGGAGUCAGCUUCUUCUCCAUCGUGCCCACUCCAGCGGGAGCCUCAGCAGCCCUGCACCCAGGUCCCACCCAACCCAAUCCAACCCAACCCAACCCACGGGGCUCCGGCCCCUCGCACUGCUUCAGGCCCCCCUGGAGCACCAUGCUUAGAGUAUGGGAUCUGGCUUCGUCUGCAGCUUCUGGAGGGGAUCGGUGACCCAGCCUGGAAGUGCAGAUGUGGGACAGGAGACAGGAGUGAGCUGGCAGGGCUGUGGGCUCGCUGCCUGCCCACCCGACUGCUGGAAAACACUGGAGCUCUUGGGGAAAAGGAGGGCGUCAGCCCGAAACAAACAUAUUUACAGGUAAGGAAGUGACUGCUGGGGCCUGAGGGGAAGGGAGACAAAGCAGACACAGCAACAGUCAAAACACCUCUGGGAAAGACAGGACAGGGGCUCUGCGGGGAGAAAGAGAAAAGCAGGUGAAAAUAAAGACACUGCCCAGGACCGCCUCCCAGUGUGGGCGCUAACAGUCCUGGGUUAGGAGAGAAGUUGCUUUGUAUCCAUUUCAGGGGCGAGGGGGAGGGAAGACACUAGCAAUAGGUUGUCCACCAAGAGAUAAAGAAGAGCAGGGAGCAGAAAUCACUGCCCUUGGAGUGGGGACGCAUAACCGAGUGUCUGAAGGGAGAAGUUCCCCAGGUCAGCUG